rnacentral:ncRNA from 1 species
UUCUUUGAUGGUACCCUACUACUUGGAUAACUGUAAUAAUUCUAGAGCUAAUACGUGCACCAAGUCCCGACACUUUGGAAGGGAUGCAUUUAUUAGAUAAAAGGCCAACGCGAGCUUGCCCGCUUAUCUGGUGAAUCAUGAUAACUCAACGGAUCGCACAGCCCUUGUGCUGGCAAUGCUUCAUUCA